AAAUGUCUUGAUGUUUUUUGAUACUGAAUAUAAAGAGAUGUGAUAGUUUGAGUUUGCGAAGGUUUUACUGUAUUUUCUCAUCCUCUUUAAUCAAUACAAGUGAUAACCACCCACCUUGUGUUGUGAUUUUGGCCUGUGCAAAUACGUCUGUGUAAGGAACAGUGAGUUCAGUACACUGAGUUAUGUUCCACCUACUUUGUACUGAACUGCCUGCUUUACACAGAGGUGUGUGUGGCGUAUUUCAUUCACACUCACUUGACUUCCAAGUUAUUCCCUGUGUUUAGGUCUAGAUUUCUGUGUUUUAAGGAAAUUCAUACUUUUGUAGAUGUGAUUGCUGUUCUGAGUGGAAGGCAAAUUAGUCUGAAUUGUUGGCAUUAUUUCUUUUAUAUAUAAUAUAAAAUUGAGACAAAGAUUAGAGUGAUACAGUUUUUUAACUGGAGAGCAAGCACUAGUAAAUAAGUAAAUAACUCACUUCCGGUUGACUGGGGCUUGUUAACUCUAUUAGCAUAUUUGGGUGGUGCAGCUCAAUCAGCAGGUAGUAGAUCAUCGCUCCCAACACCCCGCCCACCAUUGGACCAGCAACUGGGAUCCACCACCAGCCACCACCGGCCCUGAACACACAAUACAACACACACUCACUCACAGUAUCCCAUAUAUCUAGCUACCAUUAGUGAUGGACUCACCAUGCAGACUCACACGUUUGUAGGAUUUUUACAUUUCUGUUUGUCCUGUGUUCCACUGAUAAAGGUUUUGAACUUGCA